rnacentral:tRNA from 1 species
CGACGCACUUGCACUGCGUAGGUCAGCGGUUCGAUCCCGCUUAUCUCCACCA